rnacentral:rRNA from 1 species
CCUACGGGAGGCAGCAGUGAGGAAUAUUGGUCAAUGGCCGGAAGGCUGAACCAGCCAUGCCGCGUUAAGGUCAGUGCCCUAUGGUCUUUAAACUUCUUUUGUGCGGGAGCAAUAAUGGUCACGUGUGGCCAGACGAUAGUACCGUACGAAUAAGCAUCGGGUAACUCCGUGCCAGCAGCCGCGGUAAUACGGGGGAUGCAAGCGUUAUCCGGAUUUAUUGGGUUUAAAGGGUGCGUAGGCUGUGAGGUAAGUCAGCGGUGAAAUGUCCCCGCUCAACGGGGUGAAGUGCCAUUGAUACUGCCUUGGUGGAGUGCGGAUGACGUAGGAGGAAUGUGUGGUGUAGCGGUGAAAUGCAUAGAUAUCACACAGAACACCGAUUGCGAAGGCAUCUCACGAAUCCGCGAUUGACGCUGAUGCACGAAAGCGUGGGUAUCAAACAGGAUUAGAUACCCCAGUAGUC